AAGAAUUAAUUUAUUUAUGUUUAUUUUUUAAUAUAAUUUUAAUUAAAAUAAUAUUAAAAUAUAUAGUUUUUGUAAAGUUUAUUGAUAAAAUGAUUUGAAUGAUAGUAAAUUAGUAUUGUGAAAGAAUAUUGAAAUAUGUUGAAAAGAUAUUUUUUUAAAAGUUAUAUUUAUUUUAUGUACCUUUUGUAUCAGGGUUUAUUAAAUAAAUUUAUUUAUUAAUAAAAUUCUCGAAUUUAAAAGAUCUACUAAAUUAUUAAAGUUAAUGUUUUAUAAUUAUUUUAAAUGGUUUAUUAGUAAUGAAAUGUUAUUCGUUUUUAAAAAAUAUCUAGUUUUUUAAGAAAUAAAUUUAAUUUAUAUAUAAAUUAAUACAUUUUUUUUUUAAUGAAAAUGUUUUGUUUAUUUAUAUAAAUAUAUUAAGGGAUAAGCUUUAAUUUAUUAUCUAUAAUUAUUUAAAAGUUUAAUUAAAUUGUAAAUUUAGAAAUAGUUAUCAAUAAAAAUUUUGUUUUAAUUUAUUAAGUAAAAAAUUAAUUUAUUAAAUAUUUAGAUAUUAUAUUAAAAUAUAAUUUUUUGUUAAAUUUGAUUAGAAAUAAUGAUAAAAUUAGUAUAAUAAAUUGUUUAUUUAAUUAUUUAAAAAAGAUUAUUUAAAGGAAUUCGGCAAAAUUAUACUCACCUGUUUAACAAAAACAUGUCUUUUUGAGAAUAAUUUAAAGUCUAACCUGCCCACUGAAUUUUUUAAAGGGCCGCGGUAUAUUGACUGUGCAAAGGUAGCAUAAUCAUUAGUCUUUUAAUUGGAGGCUUGUAUGAAUGGUUGGAUGAGGUAUAAACUGUCUCUAAAUAAUAAAAAAUAGAAUUUAAUUUUUAAGUUAAAAAGCUUAAAUUUAAUUAAAAGACGAGAAUGACCCUAUAGAUCUUUAUAUUAUUACUUAUUUAAUUAAUUUAUAGAUAUUUCUAUUUUUUAUAGGUAAUAUUAUUUUAUUGGGGUGAUAAAAAAAUUUAAAAAACUUUUAUUAAUUAUUUACAUUAAUUAAUGAAUAAUUGAUCCAUUAAUAAUGAUUAUAAGAUUAAGUUACCUUAGGGAUAACAGCGUAAUUUUUUUAGAGAGUUCUUAUCGAUAAAAAAGAUUGCGACCUCGAUGUUGAAUUAAAGGUUAAUUUUAGGUGUAGAAGUUUAAAAUUUUGGUCUGUUCGACCAUUAAAUCUUUACAUGAUUUGAGUUCAAACCGGCGUGAGCCAGGUUGGUUUCUAUCUUUAAUUAAUAAAAAUAUUUUAGUACGAAAGGACCAAAUAUUUAAUAAAAUAUUUAUGUUUUGAAU
rnacentral:rRNA from 1 species